UUGGUUAUCAUGGUGACCGAGAUAGAGUACUGGCUAGCACAGCUCAUUUGUUUUGAUCAAUUGUCUUUAAAUGGAUGUAUUGGGUUGAAUCUUUUCAUAAAUUGGCCAUCAUUACAAAUAGAAUGCACUGUCAACUUGGAAUAAUUUUACCAUAAACUUGCCAUAUAGUUGAGGACUUCCAAAUCAAUAAGUCAACAUCUUUUCAUCCGACCCUCGACUGAUAUUGCACCUUCACCAUCUUUGGCCUAGCCAGGCUGGACCUCUUACAUUUUCACUCUUAUUAACCAUGUUUGUCUGGUAGGCCUGACGCCCAUUAUUACACUCAUUUUACCUGCUCUACUUUCAUCAAGAAAUGUAGAGGCAAAACAUCAAUUCAUCA
rnacentral:lncRNA from 1 species